rnacentral:rRNA from 1 species
UACGGAGGGGGCUAGCGUUGUUCGGAAUUACUGGGCGUAAAGGGCUCGUAGGCGGCCAACUAAGUCCGACGUGAAAUCCCCAGGCUUAACCUGGGAACUGCGUCGGAUACUGGAUGGCUUGAAUCCGGGAGAGGGAUGCAGAAUUCCAGGUGUAGCGGUGAAAUGCGUAGAUAUCUCGAGGAAUACCGGUGGCGAAGGCGGCAUCCUGGACCGGCAUUGACGCUGAUGAGCGAAAGCUAGGGGAGCAAACGGG